GACGUAGGGGGCCAGCGUUGCUCGGAAUUACUGGGUGUAAAGGGUUCGUAGGCGGUGUGGCAAGUCGGGAGUGAAAUCUCUGGGCUCAACCCAGAGUCUGCUUCCGAAACUGCUGUGCUUGAGUGUGGGAGAGGCGCGUGGAAUUGCAGGUGUAGCGGUGAAAUGCGUAGAUAUCUGCAGGAACACCCGUGGCGAAAGCGGCGCGCUGGACCUUUACUGACGCUGAGGCACGAAAGCCAGGGGAGCGAACGGG
rnacentral:rRNA from 1 species